rnacentral:rRNA from 1 species
GACGAACGCUGGCGGCGUGCUUAACACAUGCAAGUCGAACGGAAAGGCCCUGCUUUUGUGGGGUGCUCGAUUGGCGAACGGGUGAGUAACACGUGAGGAACCUGCCCUUGUCUUUCGGAUAACUUCAGGAAACUGGGGCUAAAACCGCAUAGGAGCUCCUGAUGCGUGGUGGGGGUUGGAAAGAGUCGGCGGUUGGGGAUGGAAUGGCUGCUUAUGAGCUUGUUUGGGUGGUAGUGGCUUACGAAGGCUAUGAAGGGUAGCCGGCCUGAGAGGGUGACCAGCGACAUUGGGACUAAGAUACGGCGCAGAAUGCUACGGGAGGCAGCAGUGGGAAAUAUUGCGGAAUGGGGGGAAGUCUGAUACAGAAGCGCCGCGUGCGGAAAGACGGGCUUCGGGUUAUAAACAGAUUUGGCAGGUAAUGAGGCGUGAGUGACGGUAAUGGGUAAAAAAGCACCGGCUAACUACGUG